AGAGUACUUGCAUGGGAAAAAGAGAGAAGGAGAGACUGAAGCAAACUAUAAAGGAAAGGGAAGGAAAAGGAGAGUACUUGCAUGGGAAGAAGAGAGAAGGAGAGACUGAAGCAAACUAUAAAGGAAAGGAAAGGAAAAUAAAGCACUUGAAUAGGAAGAAGAGAGGAGAAACUGAAGCAAAUAUGAAGGAAAGGGAAGGAAAAGACAGCACUUGAAUGGGAAGAAUAAACAAGAAGGGACUGAAACAAACUAUGAAGGAAAGAGAAGGAAGAACAAAACACCGAACAGUUAGAACAGACAAGGAGAGACUGAAGUAACAAACAAACAAACAAACUACCAAACAAACAACCAAACUAACUUGUCUUCUGCUUAAUCUCAUCAUCACUUUGGAACCAUGUGCGCUGUGGCUUGGCGUCCUCCUCCUCCUUCUCUGGGUCUUGCAGGCGCUUCUCCAUGCUGCGAAUGCUCUGCUCCAUCGCUGCCAACUGUUUCUCCUCCUGUUCCUCGUGCAUCACCUUCUUCACUGCUGGCCCCAGACGCUGCACCUUGGCAAUGUAUUUGGCCAGCACGUCUGUAGCAGUGGUGGUGGUGGUGGGGAAAUAGUGGGGUUUUAAGUAGUGUUCUAUUUCAUUACUUUCAAAAAGUUACACAGCAGAUUAACAAAAUUCCUACAUUAUUAACACAAAACAACAAAUAUCACCCACACACACACACACCUUUAUUGAGGAUGCGUUCAAACAUGGCGCUGCGGGAACACUUCUUGAUCUCCUUAAGCAUGGGGAACUCCUUCUCCCCUGCCAGACUCACGGAGCGGCCACAGUGCCCCGCCCUGGCUGUGCGCCCCACCCGGUGGACGUACCGGGUGUAGCGCGACGGCAGGGUGUAGUUGAUGACCUGUGGGUGGAGAGGUGUGAGGAACUGAUGGUCUGCAGGUGGAAGGAGGCAUGAAUUGAGCUAUGAGUGGAGAGAGGCAUGAUGAACUGAUGGUCUGUGAGUGGAAGAAGGCAUGACUUGAGGAGCUAUGGGUGGAGAGAGGCAAGAUGAAUUGAUGGUCUAUGGGUGGAAGAAGGUAUGAGAUGAGGAGAUCUGGAUGGAGAGAAGCAUGAGGAACCAAUGAUCUGUGGGUGGAAGAAGGCAUGAAUUGAGGAGCUAUGAGUGGAGAGAGGGAUGAGAUACUGAUGUCCUAGAAGUGGAAGGCCAUCUCUCCCAUGCCACCCUUACCACCCAGACAUCACUUACAGUUUUCACUCCCUUGAUGUCCAGACCGCGGGCAGCCACAUCAGUUGCUAUCAGGAUGUCAACCUCUUGGUCCCGGAACUUCUUGAGCGCCAGAAGUCGGUCGGUCUGUUUCAGGUUCCCAUGCAGUUCACCAGCCUUGAUGCCGAGGAGCCCCAGAAGAAUGGUGAGGUGGUGUGCCAUUGCCUGAGGGAGGAACAGGAUGAAGAGACCGAAGACUUAUGAAGUGUGAGGGAGUAAUGUGUUGUAUGAGAUGAGAAGAGAAAUGAGAUGAUUUAGUCACACAGUAAGAAAAGAAGACCAGGAACUGACUAAAAGAGGCUGUACAAAACCUGUUAACGCCCACCUUGGUCUCUACAAACACCAUGCAGUUCUGGCGGAAGGAGCGGGACACAAGGUACGCCAGGGCUGCCUCGCGCUGCCCCUCCAGGUGCUUCCGCAGGCGAACAAACUCCUGCCGUAGGUUUUGUGCCACGUCUGUGUUCUCGUUGACAAACACCUGCGGGAGACAUGGGGCAGAAUGCAGUGUGAUGAAUUGUAUGUGUGUGAGUGUGUGUGUUUUAUAAUUUUUCUCUUAAUUACGCUCCUUAGUGAUCUUUUUUCUUUAUUUUAUUUUUCUCUCUUAGCUGAAUUUGUUUAUGCAUCUUUCUUUUCCUUCAUGAACCUUUUUUUUCAAGUUUUAUCCUUUUCUCUCUUAGUCAAGCUUCUUCUUGGUCAAUCUAUAAGGACAAUAAGGAUUAAUGAGGCCGUGUGUGGAAGCAUAUCAAUAAAAUUCAGAAUAUUUU